AUAUGGUUAUGUUUUCAGGUGUUUACGUAAGGACGAAAUACUGCAUGUUCAGCCUCCUCAAAGGCAUUUCUCUUUUCACUCUUAUUGUAUUGAUUGGUAUUGAUUGACUCCGGUGGAUUUAUUCAAGCCUUUGUGCUCCCUGAAGUGCAGAACCACAUUUAAGAAUUGAAAGAGAAAGAUUUGAGGCUGAAAGGUUGGUGAUCUGGUGUUGUUGGUCACUUGGAAUCAAAUGAAAAUUCUAGCCGCUGGCAUAGUAGUGAUUGACCACUAUUAUUACUUUAUUCGGGAGAAUAUAAUUGCCUAGAACAUUAUUAUUGUAUGUCAUCAUUUCCGCGAACACAGUGGACACUUUCCAGGCCCAACUAUAUCCAGGAGCUGAAUUUUAAAUGACAAAUAAAAUAUGAACAUGUUUGAAACUUUAAAUUAAAUGAAACUCCAGUCGUGCACUGGGAUCUCAAAUCCCCGAACCUGAUGGUAGACAAAAAUUGGAAUGUAAAGGUGUGUGAUUUCGGGUUGUCCAGAUUUAAAGCGAACACUUUCUUGUCAUCAAAAUCUGUUGCUGGAACGGAGACAUUCCUACUGAUAGGUUGAUGCCAGAUAUUAUAAAUUGUACUCUAAGCAUAGUCAAAUUUAGCAAAAAUAUCAGCAGACUUCAUUUCCUUUCGGAGAGGAUUCUCUCCCUUGGUUAUGAAGUAAUUUCAAAUGUGCUGGAGACUGGUCCGGGUUAGUUUCUCCACAUUUUACAGCUCUAUUGGAAUCUGCAAUCUUCCCAGCUUUGGUCAUAAAUGUAAAGGACAUGUCAGAGUGGGAAGAAGAUGCUGAUACAGUAUAUACGGAAGAAUCUUCCUUCAGGACGAAGUUUGUGGAUGAAGGGGGGAUUUAUUCACUGCCAGAAAAAGUGCAGUAAACUUACUUGGUGUUACUUCAAUGUCAAAGGGGCCACACCAAUGGAGACUUCCAUUGUCAGUUUAUCAGCCAAGCGGAAAAAAAUGUCAAAAGAACAAAAGAAGCAAUCAGUGCCAUUCUAAGGGAGAGUUAUAGGUGCUUCUGUUUUUGUCUAAGUUUUUCAUUCCUUCUGUUUCCAACGUGUCUCAAAAAAAAAGUCCUGAAUUAGUGAGUUUUUAUGUGUGGUUCACAUGUGUAUGCCUGCCUGAUCAAAUAACUGCACACUUUAUUUUUAAGAUCUAACUGCACACUUUAUGUGAAACGUAUUGUUGGACACUCAGGUUGUGCUCUAAAGCCUACUGAUGUUGUUCCACUAUGGUUCAUGUAACUUGUGUCUGGUUUCGACCUGAAGUUUUUUUGCUAGUGAUGAGUAAAUUUAGCAUGCUUUGGGUAUCUUGAGUAUUCCAUCAAAUUCUUUUGUGAGGGUAGCGUAUUUGAAGCUCUUUUGCCUAUGCAGAAAAUGUACUUGUAUAUUAUUUUCAAAAGAAGUAUAGUUUGAUAUUAUCACUCACUAAUGUGUAUAAAUUUUUCCUCGAAAAAAUAUAGUAAUGGUCCUACCUAAUUCUAGUCACCAAUUGAUGGAAUUUAUUCUUUGCACAUUUUACACUAAGUUACAUCAUUACUUAGUUUUGUUCAUUCCAAUUCAAUCUAAAUUCUGUAUUAGUUCAAUUUCAGAUUUGUGUUAUUUGUAAGCAAAUCGAUGGUUCAUGCACACAAUGUGUCAAGUGUUCCACAUGUCUCCAUGCCAUGUGUGCGUGAAGGACUGAUUAUCGCAUAGAGAGGUGAGACUUCAUUUAGAUUGAAUUGGUUUCCAUUUGCAUAAGUUUUGUUGAUAUUUUAUAAUAUGUAUUGUCCUGGUUUAGUGCCACUUUUAAUUAAUGUUGUCUCUUCUGGAACUUGGGCAAUGAUUCCCACUCCUGGAACGCCUCAACAAGUACAAUCAGGCAUGCAGCCGCUUGUGAAUAAUGCAGCUGCUGCUAAUGUGCCUUUGUCCCACUCCUGGAACGCCUCAACAAGUACAAUCAGGCAUGCAGCCGCUUGUGAAUAAUGCAGCGCCUGUGCAACCUUGGUACCCAUUGUUAAAAGGAAAGUUGCCUUUAUUCAUUCACGCCUCUUACUUGUUUUAUUGGUUUUCCAUGUUUCGAUGUGUAACUAUGAUUAUAAUGAAUGUGAGGUCUUUUGUUUUUAUAUUCUGCUACUUUAUGUUGUUAAUGAAUUCCUUCUAAUUGCAGACAAAUACAAGUGUUGCAUCUUCUUUAGGGACAUUUUUCCUGCCCCAGAUCUCAAUGAUCUUCUUGGACAUGUUGAAUGUAUACAGAGUGUACAGGGAGCAUAUUUGAAACACAAAUAUGUACAGUAAGAUUAUAGUGGUUUUUAACAAAUAUUUACUAUUCAGUCCCUUCAUACAAAUUCUUCUGGAAUUAUGCAGGAGAGAUGUCAAAUAGCUGUCCAUUAAGAAUUUUAUGGUGCAAGAAAUGUUCAAGACUUUACAAUCAUGCGUUUAUAAAGCUUGUGAAACACCAGUCAUCAUGCGAGAGUGUUGUCAUUGCUCUGUAAAAGGUGUGUGUCUUCCAAUGUAUUAUAGUCAUUCGAGUCAGCCAGAGAAGCUUCAGCGAGUGUAACAUCGAAAGGUGCUACAAAGGUUGGGAAAUCAAGUGCAAAUGGUGUUUCAAAACCUGGAAAUCGAUCUGUAUCUGCGGUAUGUGGAGUAUGUUGUUGACCUGGUUGGGGAACCAGGAAAUAUUUUUGGGCCAGAUUCAUCAAUUAAUGGAGCAUACGUGUCUUCCAUACCUUCCCCAUUUCAAAUUUCUCAUAUGAGAGAUUCUCAAUUGCCCUAUGCGGAUGAUGCAGCAUCUCCUCAAGUGAUAUGUUUUAAUCAGAAUUCUCCCAACAAUGACCUGUAUUCAGGAAGAUCAACAACAUAAAGAAACUGAUUUGUACAAAAAUAAUAAUAAUGGCUUCAAUUAUGCUUCAGUUGAUCAAACUUGUGGAGCAUUAUUACAUGAAAUUCCAUUUGUUGGGAAAGGUCAAAGAAAUUUCUUACAAUGAGGUCGUUGCAAAUGGAAGU